rnacentral:ncRNA from 2 species
CUAUUUAUAGGAAACUGUGAUUCAUAUAUUUAUUUGGGCACUUUGUAUAUGAUGAGUUAGUAGUGCAACCGACCUUUAUUUAA